CAAGGUUAUCCUAAAUGUCCAGCAAAGUAUCACAUCAAUAGGAAGAAGCAUAGACAGCAUAGCAACUAAGGUAUCUCACUUAUUUCCAACAUCACACUGAAAAAGUACCAUAUAAAAAUCUUCCCAAACAAUUUUCUUACACGUGAAGCGAACAAAAUGCCUACAACAUCAAGAACUACUACGCCUCACUCCCCUUACCGAAAAGACGUAACUUUGAUUGGACAAAAAUGAGAAGAAAAAGAAGAAGCAACAACAACAUAACAACAUACCCAAUGUAAUCCCACAAAGUAAGGUCUUGGUAGGAUAGAGUGUACGCAAACAUUACCCCUACCUUGGAGGUAGAGAGGCUUUUUCCAAUAGACCCUCAAACCAAGAAUUCAAACCAAUUUUAUGACACAAAGGUCCAAUCUUUAUAAGCUCAUAACAACUCCCAUAAACAAGAAAACCACAAAUAUCAUCAGCACCCCACAAACACAAUAAAACACCAAAAUCUAAGGUAAAAAAGAGCAAAAUCAACCAAGAUAAGAUUUUGUACCUAAAAGCCUGAUUAACUCAUCCCAUUCUCUACAAAAGCAACCAAUAAUUGGGUCUUCCUGAUAGGCUUCAUCAACCAAAAAAAAAAAAACAAAGACAAAAACCAAGAACAGAAAAUUAAAGGGUCUUAACAAAAGGGUAAGAGUGGGUGGUUGAGAUGAACCAAAUAUCCUUAAAAGCUUUCUCCUUGAUUUUCGUGUCCACCAAAACAGGCACUUGUUUUUUCAA